CGAGAUGCCAGCAUCAUCCCUGAUAUCUCCUUGGAUCCCGUCCUCACAACCUUCCUGUCACUGGACUCCUCAGCAGCACUGCAGCAUCGAUAUGGUUUCCUGCAGCGGGGUAUGAGCGGAGAGCAGCAAGCGGCGUUCAGACAGAGCCUGAUCGGAGAGCUGGGGGGCAGCAGGGUCACCUAUGGAGGAGUAGGGGUCAUUGCUCUGGCUCUGUCCAUGCUUUUUGACCAGGUUGCCCAACAUGUAGGCAAAGCUGUUCAGUUUUGUGUGUUUUUUGUAGAAAAAAAAAUCAAAAAUUGUUAUCUUAUCAGGUCCGAGUGCAAGGAUCAUCCACAGAGGGCCAUCUAUCAACGCAGGGACCCCAGGCCAUGAUGAUUUUUGGCAUCAGUACCUCUUCAAGAAUUGGCCAGCUAAUUAACAGCUACCUCCGCCUCAUUCCUGGCAUCGCCAACAACCAGGAGACAAUGGCCGAAACCACGGAGCUCUACGACAGUUUGCUGAAACUUGAACUGCUUGAUCAUUAUGAGAGGAUGAUUAACAAGAAGAGAAUGAGCUCAGUGUCCAUGCAGCAGUGGUUGGCAGGAGCAGCUUUUCACCUGCACCUGAGACUGCACCAGGUCCGUCUGAACUCUGUGCCUUUGGGAUCUGCUAAAUCACUGCGUUUUUCUUAUAAGACAGGACUGAAUCACCUGAUUCAGGGCUACGCAGCUUAUCUGCGCAGAAACAUACAGGAGACUGCAGCUCCAGGCCCACAUCACACUGCAAUCAAUGCAGCCAGUGGUCCAAAAGAAACCAGUGCAACCAAUACAACAUGCUCCAGCAGUGUCCUUUUUAAUAUCAGUUUGGUCAGUCCAAGUGUCUCGGCUGAUAUAUUCAAUGACUCUACCACACCCAAUUCAACUGCUGGAAGCUGUAAAACUCAUGGCUCCACAGAGGACGUUGGACUCAACGAAGACAGGAAGGGAAACAAUGACACCACUGUAGGUAUGAUAAAUAAAAACACACUCAAUAUUUCUGCUGGGCACAGCAGGAAGGAGGAAGAACACAUGUUAGUCAUCGAGCCUUGGAGAAACGUCACAACGUGCAGCACCAUCCCUGUGAGUCUUCGGCCAUUCAGCAAGCUCUGGUGACCCGCAUUAUCAACGCUCAGGACCUGGAGCGGAACAGAAACUUUUUCAUUUACCGAGAGAAAGCCUUCCAGAACCUCCUCAGACAGAGGGAGGACUUUGAGCUGAGGUCAAAUUAGAUCAUACAUCACAGGCAGAUCAUAUUCAUUGAUCAUGCACUUGUUGAAUUAAUGUAGAUGAAGUAUGGAUGUCCUCAGAUGUCACCUGGAGUCAGGUGAACCAUCUCCAGCUUAACACCUCAAAGACUAAGGAGCUGGUCAUCGACUUCAGGAAGUCCAGCCCACAGCCACGUCCAGUGACCGUCAGGGACGACGAGGUGGAGAUUGUAGGCAACUACAAGUACCUCGGGUUGUGGCUGGACAACAAGCUGGACUGGACAUGCUGUACAGAUCACCUGUACAAGAAGGGCCAGAGCCGACUGUACUUCCUGCGAAGACUGGGAGCCUUCAACAUCUGCAGGAAACUCCUGUGGAUGUUCUACCAGUCUGUGGUGGCCAGUACACUUUUUUAUGCUGUUGUCUGUUGGGGGGGUAACAUAAACAAAAGGUGUGCUAACAGGCUGGACAGACUUAUCAGGUGGGCCGGCUCUGUGGUCGGCAUGAAGCUGGACUCCCUGGUGACAGUGGCAGAGAGGAGAACACUAAGAAAACUCCUGGCUAUUGUGGACGAUGCCAGUCAUCCUCUGCACACUGUCAUCAGCGCUCAGAGGAGCCAGAACAGUCACAGGCUGCUCCUCCCCAAGAGCAGGACCAACAGACUCAGAGACUCCUUUGUGCCCCGAUCCAUCAAACUCUACAACUCUGCUUUUGGCAGGAGGGGGAGAAGGAAGGGAGGAGCACAGCCCGCCUGAUACAACACACGUGCAAUAAUUUACAUGUGCAAUAAUCCUGUACCAUUUAUGCUGCUGUGCAAUGUUUGUUUACAUUUACUGCACUAUACUACAUUACCAUUUAUGCUGCUGUGCAAAUUUUUUGUACACAAUUCCUUUACAUUACUGCACUAU
ensembl:lncRNA